GACGAACGCUGGCGGCGUGCUUAACACAUGCAAGUCGAACGGAAAGGCCCUGCUUUUGUGGGGUGCUCGAGUGGCGAAUGGGUGAGUAACACGUGAGUAACCUGCCCUUGACUUUGGGAUAACUUCAGGAAACUGGGGCUAAUACCGGAUAGGAGCUCCUGCUGCAUGGUGGGGGUUGGAAAGUUUCGGCGGUUGGGGAUGGACUCGCGGCUUAUCAGCUUGUUGGUGGGGUAGUGGCUUACCAAGGCUUUGACGGGUAGCCGGCCUGAGAGGGUGACCGGCCAAAUUGGGAAUGAGAUAACGCCCCGACCUCCUCGGGGGGGAGGAGGGGGGGAAAUUGCAACAAGGGGGGAAGCCCGGAUGAGGAAACGCGGGGGGGGGAAGGAGGGCCUUGGGUUUUAAAACGGUUUUGCCCGGGAAGAAGGGGGGGGGAAGGGAAAUGGUAAAGAAGGCACCGGCAAACAAGGG
rnacentral:rRNA from 1 species